GAGCUGGUGCUGCCUCCUUCUUGGUCUCUUCUUUGGGCUCCUCAGUAACAGUUUCUGCAGGAGUCUCCUCAGGAGUUUCUUCUACUGCUGGAGCUGCAACCUCUUCAGGCUCAGCUUUUGCUGGUUCUUCAACAACCUCCUUGGUUUCAACCUCAACUGCAGGUUCAGCUUCAGGUUCUGCGGCCGGGGCAACAGCGGGUGCUGCUUCUGUUAGUUCUUCGGCUACUGGCUCAGAGGCGGGUGGUGCAGUUUCAGUGGUUGUCUCCUCGGUCUUGGUCACCUCAGGUACCUCAGCCUCUGGAAUUGCUGGAGCAGCUGCAACCUGCAACAAUAAGCAUACUGAUAUUUAUCUCAAAAUGUAUAAUCCAAUGGAAGAAAGCUAGAAGAAGGGUUCUUUAAGAUUCAUUUUUUCUUAAUCAUCUGCUGAUCAUCCAUUCUAUCUACAGAAGUAGUUUCCUUUAACAACAAUCAACAAAAGCUUAGAAUAUGUAGAAUUCUUGCUAGAACAUAAAGAAACCUGUAGGUUGAUCAAGAAAAGAAGUUUCAAUAAACUGUAAGAUUGAAUCCUCUCCAUCGCAAUCCUCAUAUAAACAGAAGGAUCGGAUGAAAUCUAGCAUAGACAAUAUUGGAGUGGUCUAUCACUUGAGCUAGAGGUAGAAAUUUGAUCAUCAUCAAUAUAACAAGAUCAGGUUAUGAAACUUAUUUGAUCAUAAAAGUAGUAAACAACAAAUUAUAACUUGAUCAAUAAGAUAAUAUUAUACAAAAGGGCUAAUCAAUUAAUACAAGUUGAUGAAUAUCAGAUAUUAUUGUAAAACUAAAAUGAGACUGAGUGAUAUAUCACUUGAGCAAGAUCAAGAUGGGUUGUAAUAGCAUUCCACUAAGAAAUAUUUUAGAAGACAUUUUUACCUCAACAGUAGCCAUUUGGUUAAAAGCUAACAGGAUUGAAGAAAGAUUGGAGAAAAGGAGGAAGGAGGGUUGGU
rnacentral:lncRNA from 1 species